GCCAUGCCCAAAUAAACAAACCUAAAUGUCCAACAAUAGAAGGUUUCAAAAAUGAUUGGAGGAAGUUCUCUUGUGGCACAGUGGGUUAAGGAUCUGGUGUUGUCACUGCCAUGGCACAGGUUCCUUCCCCCCUCAUGGUUCCUAGUCGGAUUCGUUUCUGCUGGGCCACAAUGGGAACUCCAUGUUUAUUUUUAUUACAGAGUACAUCUUACAUAAAAUGUACUGUCUUCCUUCGGAUGGCUAUCUUCUUCAAUGGAAUUAGCUGAUUUUAUAAAUCUUGCAUAGUCAGGAAAAGGAUGGGAAUAUCUAUCCUGAGGCCCCAUGGUAUCUGUUACCAAAGUGCUUUACAAAAAAAAAUGAUAGCAAUUUAUCCUGCUGCAUCGAGGAAAUUUCGGCAUAAUCUCCCCAUCAUUAGAAAUUAUCACUAUAAAAUUUGCUGGGAGUUUCAUAAAUGUAAACUAGUACCUCACUACUGGGAGUUCCCAUCAUGGCUCAGCGGUUAGCAAACCCAACUGGUAUCCAUGAGGACGCAGGUUUGAUCCCUGGCCUUGCUCAGUGGGUUAAGAAUCUGGUGUGGCCAUGAGCUGUGGCGUAGGUCUCAGAUGUGGCUUGGGUCCUGUGUUGCUAUGGCUCUGGCCUAGGCUGGCGGCUACAGCUGAUUGGACCCCUAGCCUGGGAACCUCUAUGUGCUGUGGGUGUGGCCCUAAAAAGACAAAAAAAAAGACAAAAAAAGUACCUCAUUAUUGUACUACUUUGUAUUUGGUACCUUUUCUGCAAAUUGUGGCUGAGAUUGUCAUGUUUAUUGUUAUUGGAAUUUCCUCUUGUGUGUUAACGUUCGUGGGAAUAUUGACCACAUUUUUAUAAAUUGGAAGGCACACUCUCACCUCCAUCACCAAUUUAGAAGAGAAGUGAAAGGAUUUCUGAUGAGUAAAAUUCAAGUAGAAGCAACUUCCUAAUCUGUUGGAAAGAGCAUGCGACUCGGAGUCACUGAAUGUAGCCUUGAGUUCUGGCUGAGUCAGUUACUAUUUGUGUUGUUUUGAAAAGGUUUUAGACUAUCAAUGGAAAGACCUCAAAGUAGGCCAGAUCCUACCUAUUCUGAUUCCCUCCCAUUUUUUCUUCCCAAAGAAAGUUGAAAAUGACAGAAAACAAAAAUGGAAACUGUUCAGAAGGCUUUCAGUCUCCCCUGAGGCUCAACAAGAUGCUAUAUCGAGCAAUACCCAGAAAUACCCACAUUACUUCUGCCCUCCACUUGGAAGGUGGGCUCUUCAACUCUCUGCAUCAUCCAGGGCGCUGGGGCUGGCCAACACACUUCACUUAGUCUUGGGCAGUGGGUGUUUGGUGAUACAAAGGUUGGUGGGCAUCUGAAGUGGACACUUUGCUGGCAGAACAGAGAACUAGGCCAAGGUGGGAAGGUGUUCUGACCUAAAAACAUUACUUCAUGUUCAGUGGUCUCAAAACAUUUACGAGAAAGAGAGCUGGCUGACGUUAAUGCCAGAUGACAUUAACAGACACUUUGCAAAUGAUAGUUAUUGUAGCCUAUUUAGGAUUAGGGUUAUUAGUUUUUCUUUACUUUUUUCAACAAACAUUUAUUGAGGCACUAAGCUAAGUGCUGGAAAUACAGAAAGGAAUGAAACAGCUCCUGCCAUCAAGGGAGAUCAUAACUUAACAAUGGAGACCACCACUUAAAGGAUUAUAACUACAACAUGUAAUCAUAACUAGAAGACAGUGUGGUAACCACAGCUGUCAAAGUAUACGCAAUGAUGUUUUCUUGUUGUGAAUUGUGUGUUUUAUAAUUUUAGUGUUCUUCUAAAAACAUCUUGUACUUCUGAUUAUAAAUCAAAAUAGAGAAAUUAGAGGCUGAAAACUUGGAAAAGAGGAGGCCAAAAUAUCACGAUCGGAAAGUGAUAAAACCACAUAUCUGAAAAACCCAAGAGAAUCUACUAAAAAACUACUAUAAACAAUAAGAGAAUAUAGUAAGGUGGUUGCAUUCAAAAUUAACAUAGAAAUAAUUAACCUUCAUAACGUAAACAACUAGUCAGAAAUACACAGAAAAGACCCCACUUACAAAAAAAAUUUUUAAAGAUAAAACAGCUCGGUACAAAUUUAACUAUAGCUAAAUAAUACCUACAUAAAUAAAACUUUGGAACACCAGGGAGGAACACAAAAGAUAAUUUGAACAAGAGGAAAGCCAAAGCACAUUCUGGGAGAAGAUGAUGACUUGGUGUCAAAAAUAUUUCUAUUUGUUUGUUUGUUUUUGGCCUGGUCCAUGUAUUGCAGAAGUUCCUGGGUCAGGAAUCGAACCCGUGACAUAGCAGAAACAGAGCCAUAGCAGUGACAACCCUGGAUCCUUAACCCUCUGAGCCAUGAGGGAACACCAAUAUGUCUGUUCUCUCUAAAUUAAUCUAUGAAUUUAAUCCAGUCGCCUCCACCCUGAUUUAUUUAGCAAGCUGAUCUAGAAUUUAUAUAGAAAGAGAAGCAAACGAGAGGAAUGAGGAAAAUUUUGAAGUUAGGGAGAAGGGACCAGCCCUAGCAUAUAUUGAAAUGUAUUAUAAAAUUAUAAUUUUAAAAACAGUAUACUACUAGUAUAUGAAGAAAUGGAUCAAUGGAGCAGAAUAGAGAGGUCCAGGAAUGGAUUCAAAUACCUAUGGAAUUGUAUAUAUAAUAUAGGUGGCAAAGAGAUGCAUAUGUCAAUAUGUGGAGUUGGGAAGGCAGUGUGGUAGAUGCCUGGUGGACCAGCCACAUGUCCCCUUCAGGACAAGGCACUGCUGCCCCCAGAUGCUGGGAGUGUUGUUUGCUGAAAGCUCCUGGCUGAGCUCCUCCCCAGGAAUUGCUCUCAGCCAAAGGGAGCAGCUUCACCCCAAACUAUACCCCCAGGAUCAUUCAUAUCCAAGGACUGGCUGGCUGAUGUCAGGGUACAAUGCCUGGCCCUCUUCAUUUAAGAGAGCUUUGAAAGGCUAUUCCUGGUCCAGAGCUUGUGGAAUUAAUUGGCUGAAGCUUCGUUGAUGUUGCAUCUCAAUUCAAUUUCUCCUCUGCCCAAUUUUGCCUCUUCACUCCCUUACAGUGUGAUUCCUGGGUGCACUGCCCAGCAAACUUCUUGCACUCUUGUUGGAUGCAAACCUCAUAUAUUUAACUAGAAUAAAUUUCAGCUGAAUCAAGGCUUCAACUGUAAAAUUUUAAAAAUUAAACUAGAAGAAACUAGAGGAAAAAAAUUUUAUAUCCUUGGUUGGUUUAAGUAUUAGAAUCCAUUUAAAAAAAAAGGUGGAUACUACUCAGCCAUAAAAAAGAACAAAAUAAUGCCAUUUGCGGCAACAUGGAUGGAAUUAGAGACUCUCAUACUAAGUGAAGUGAGUCAGAAAGACAAAUAUCAUAUGAUAUCCCUUAUAUCUGGAAUCUAAUAUACAGCACAAAUGAAACUUUCCACAGAAAAGAAACUCAUGGACUUGGAGAACAGACCCCUAGCCUUCCAUAUGCUGCAGGUGUGGCCGUAAAAACACAUGAACUCCCCCUGUCCCCCCGCCAAAACCCAGCAUGUCUUUGACCUGGAAAUUCUGCUGCCAAGAAUUUAUUCUACAGACUUACUGUACUUAAUGAUAUAUUGCAAUUAUUCAUUGCAGUGUUUCUGUAAUAAUAAAAGUUUGAUACCUGAAAUGGAUACAAUGUUCUAUCUCAAUUAAAAAAUUUUAAAAGUAUAAGUAGAUAAAAAUUUGGAAAAAAUCUGAAAACUCAUCAACAGAGACUAUGUUAAAACUUUUUAAAAGAAGAAAAUAAUCUGGAACCCAGAAGAUAUGUGUCUGGGGAUUUGUAAUGAAUUUCACCUUCUCGAGGGGGAACCCGAGUGUCUGAGAAGUUUCGAGAGUAGUUGGGUAAAUAGAUGAAGCUAGUGAUCGGAACCAUGAUUGGAAUGACCACUCCUUGGCUCGGGGAGUUGAGUCCUGUCUAAAUGAGCCAAGGGCUAGAAGGGUCUUUCUGAAAGAACUAUAAGAACUUGAUGGUUAGGACUAGGAAAACUGAAAAGAUAGGCCAAUUAAUUCUGAAGAGUUUCAUCGAUCCACACAAGGAUUGGCACACGAAUGUUCAUAGCAGUAUUACUCACAGUGGCUCCUAACUGGAAGCAACCUAAAUGCUUGUUAAAGGUCGUGAAUGGAUAGGAGUUCCCAUUGUGGCUCAGUGGUUAACGAACCCGACUAGUAUCCACGAGGACUCGGGUUCGAUCCCCGGCCUUGCUCAGUGGAUUAAGGAUCUGGCGUUGCCGUGAGCUGUGGUGUAUGGGUUAAGGAUCUGGCAUUUGCUGUGGCUCUGGCAUAAGCUGGCAGCAACAGCUCCAAUUUGACCCCUAGCCUGGGAACCUUCAUAUGUGCUGGGUGUGGCCCUAAAAAAAGACAAAAGCCAAAAAAAAAAAAAAAAAUUGUGAAUGGAUAGACAAACUGUGUGACAUCCAUACAGUGGAAAACAAUUCCGCAUUAAAAAUGAAACAACUAUAGAUGAAUCUCGAAAAAACUUAGGCUCAGUGAAGCCAGCCACAAGAGACCAAACAGUGUGUGAUCCCAUUGAUAUGAAACAUCCACAGAAAGCAAACUAUGGAAAUAGAAAUCAGAUUCGUGGCAGAGGAGAGAUGACAGUGAUUCGUGGCAAGGCUGCACCAGGGAUCUUACUGGGGUGAUGACAUGUUCUAAAGCUAGUUUAUGCUGAUGGCUGCACAAUAUGAUAAAUCUACUUAAAAAUCAUGGAAUUGUGGCAGUUCACUUGUGGUACAGAGGGUUAGGGAUCUAGCAUUGUCACUGCUAGCAGCUUGGGUCUCUGCUGUGGUACAGGUUCAGUCCCUGGCCUGAGAACUUCCACAUGACAAGAGCAUGGCCAAAAAAAAAAAAAAAAAAAAAAAAAAAAAAAAAAAAAAUCAUCAAUUUGUGCUCUUGAUAGGCAAAAAUGCCUCAGUAAAAUUAUUUUAAAAAAAUUCCAGCAGAGGAUGGUGUCUACUUUGGUGUUUGGGGUAAACCUUUAGAGUGAAGAGGCUCAGUUGAGGCCUUUUUCUUCUUCUUCCAGCUCAUAUUUUUGGUUUUUUGGUGGCACUCAGGGCCUGCUGAAGUUCCUGGGCCAGGAGUCGAACUAGCACCACAGCAGUCACCCCACCAGCCAUAGCAGCAACAAUGCCAAACCCUUAACUCACUGAGCCAUGAGGGAACUCCUCAUACUUUGUUUGCUGCCAGCAAGAAUCAGCAUUCCUCACAAGGAAUGGUGGGUCCCUGAAAGGGUCGGGAAGACAGUAGGGUUGAGGAACCUGAGAUGUCAGAAACUAUCUUGCUGCAGAAGGAGAAAGAAAAUAGGAAAGGGCUGGGUUAAUGCAGGAUGGCCCGAACCCUGCUGGGGAACCCCGGGGGGCUUGAGAAGGAAGACUCUUCCCCUGACAGGACUCAGGGCUGGAGCAGUGAAGGAUAAACCCAAGCUGAGGUCAGAAGGGAGCACAUUCUGCCAGACAGACAAGGAAAUGGAUUCCAAGUAUGCCUGAGAGUUGGUGAGGUCUCCAGCCUGGAUGGUCUUCUUCCUGGUGGCCAGGUGUGAUGGAGGGAGCCACUCAGGUCCCAAACCUGGAGACAUGAUGCUACAGAGACAAGACAACUACUGACAUGUGCCCUUGAGAGACAAACUCAGAAUGGGUGGAGCAGGAGAUGCUUAGAGGUCCCUAAGAUGGUGCUCAGUCCGUUAAUUUCAUUACAGUUGAUCCUUGAACAACUUGGGCACCUACCCUCCUGCAGUCAAAAAUCCACAUAUAAUUUAUAGUUGGAUCUUUUUUUUUUUUUUUUUUUUUGCUUUUUAGGGCUGUACUCAUGGCAUAUGGAGAUUCCUAGGCUCCCAGGCUAGGGGUCGAAUUGGAGCUGUAGCUGCCGGCCUAUGCCACAGCCACGGCAAUGCAGGAUCUGAGCCGCAUCUGGGAUCUACACCGCAGCCCAUGGCAACGCCAGAACCUUAACCCACUGAACAAGGCCAGGGAUCAAACCUGCGUCCUCAUGCAUGCCAGUCAGAUACGUUAACCGCUGAGCCACGAUGGGAACUCCCAUAUAGUUGGCUCUUCACAUCAAUGGAUUCCACCAACCUCAGAUCAUGUAGGACUCUAACAUUUACCAGUGAAAGGAAUUCAUGUAUAUGUGGACCCACACAGUUCAAACCCACGUUGUUCAAGGGUCAACUGUAUUCUG
rnacentral:lncRNA from 1 species